UGUGAACUCGAAGAGUAGGGCGGGACACGUGGUAUCCUGUCUGAAUAUGGGGGGACCAUCCUCCAAGGCUAAAUACUCCUGACUGACCGAUAGUGAACCAGUACCGUGAGGGAAAGGCGAAAAGAACCCCGGCGAGGGGAGUGAAAAAGAACCUGAAACCGUGUACGUACAAGCAGUGGGAGCACCUUCGGGUGUGACUGCGUACCUUUUGUAUAAUGGGUCAGCGACUUAUAUUCUGUAGCAAGGUUAACCGUAUAGGGGAGCCGCAGGGAAACCGAGUCUUAACUGGGCGUUAAGUUGCAGGGUAUAGACCCGAAACCCGGUGAUCUAGCCAUGGGCAGGUUGAAGGUUGGGUAACACUAACUGGAGGACCGAACCGACUAAUGUUGAAAAAUUAGCGGAUGACUUGUGGCUGGGGGUGAAAGGCCAAUCAAACCGGGAGAUAGCUGGUUCUCCCCGAAAGCUAUUUAGGUAGCGCCUCGUGAAUUCAUCUUCGGGGGUAGAGCACUGUUUCGGCUAGGGGGUCAUCCCGACUUACCAACCCGAUGCAAACUACGAAUACCGAAGAAUGUUAUCACGGGAGACACACGGCGGGUGCUAACGUCCGUCGUGAAGAGGGAAACAACCCAGACCGCCAGCUAAGGUCCCAAAGUCAUGGUUAAGUGGGAAACGAUGUGGGAAGGCACAGACAGCCAGGAUGUUGGCUUAGAAGCAGCCAUCAUUUAAAGAAAGCGUAAUAGCUCACUGGUCGAGUCGGCCUGCGCGGAAGAUGUAACGGGGCUAAACCAUGCACCGAAGCUGCGGCAGCGACACUAUGUGUUGUUGGGUAGGGGAGCGUUCUGUAAGCCUGCGAAGGUGACCUGUGAGGGUUGCUGGAGGUAUCAGAAGUGCGAAUGCUGACAUAAGUAACGAUAAAGCGGGUGAAAAGCCCGCUCGCCGGAAGACCAAGGGUUCCUGUCCAACGUUAAUCGGGGCAGGGUGAGUCGACCCCUAAGGCGAGGCCGAAAGGCGUAGUCGAUGGGAAACAGGUUAAUAUUCCUGUACUUGGUGUUACUGCGAAGGGGGGACGGAGAAGGCUAUGUUAGCCGGGCGACGGUUGUCCCGGUUUAAGCAUGUAGGCUGGUUGUCCAGGCAAAUCCGGAUAAUCAAGGCUGAGGUGUGAUGACGAGGCACUACGGUGCUGAAGUAACAAAUGCCCUGCUUCCAGGAAAAGCCUCUAAGCAUCAGGUAACAUCAAAUCGUACCCCAAACCGACACAGGUGGUCAGGUAGAGAAUACCAAGGCGCUUGAGAGAACUCGGGUGAAGGAACUAGGCAAAAUGGUGCCGUAACUUCGGGAGAAGGCACGCUGGUGUGUAGGUGAAGUCCCUGCGGAUGGAGCUGAGACCAGUCGAAGAUACCAGCUGGCUGCAACUGUUUAUUAAAAACACAGCACUGUGCAAACACGAAAGUGGACGUAUACGGUGUGACGCCUGCCCGGUGCCGGAAGGUUAAUUGAUGGGGUUAUCCGUAAGGAGAAGCUCUUGAUCGAAGCCCCGGUAAACGGCGGCCGUAACUAUAACGGUCCUAAGGUAGCGAAAUUCCUUGUCGGGUAAGUUCCGACCUGCACGAAUGGCGUAAUGAUGGCCAGGCUGUCUCCACCCGAGACUCAGUGAAAUUGAACUCGCUGUGAAGAUGCAGUGUACCCGCGGCAAGACGGAAAGACCCCGUGAACCUUUACUAUAGCUUGACACUGAACAUUGAGCCUUGAUGUGUAGGAUAGGUGGGAGGCUUUGAAGCGUGGACGCCAGUCUGCGUGGAGCCAACCUUGAAAUACCACCCUUUAAUGUUUGAUGUUCUAACGUUGGCCCCUGACCGGGGUUGCGGACAGUGUCUGGUGGGUAGUUUGACUGGGGCGGUCUCCUCCCAAAGCGUAACGGAGGAGCACGAAGGUUAGCUAAUCCUGGUCGGACAUCAGGAGGUUAGUGCAAUGGCAUAAGCUAGCUUGACUGCGAGCGUGACGGCGCGAGCAGGUGCGAAAGCAGGUCAUAGUGAUCCGGUGGUUCUGAAUGGAAGGGCCAUCGCUCAACGGAUAAAAGGUACUCCGGGGAUAACAGGCUGAUACCGCCCAAGAGUUCAUAUCGACGGCGGUGUUUGGCACCUCGAUGUCGGCUCAUCACAUCCUGGGGCUGAAGUAGGUCCCAAGGGUAUGGCUGUUCGCCAUUUAAAGUGGUACGCGAGCUGGGUUUAGAACGUCGUGAGACAGUUCGGUCCCUAUCUGCCGUGGGCGCUGGAGAAUUGAGGGGGGCUGCUCCUAGUACGAGAGGACCGGAGUGGACGCAUCACUGGUGUUCGGGUUGUCAUGCCAAUGGCACUGCCCGGUAGCUAAAUGCGGAAGAGAUAAGUGCUGAAAGCAUCUAAGCACGAAACUUGCCCCGAGAUGAGUUCUCCCUGAGACUUUAAGUCUCCUGAAGGAACGUUGAAGACGACGACGUUGAUAGGCCGGGUGUGUAAGCGCAGCGAUGCGUUGAGCUAACCGGUACUAAUGAACCGUGAGGCUUAACCUU
rnacentral:rRNA from 1 species